AUUGAACGCUGGCGGCAUGCCUAACACAUGCAAGUCGAGCGAGCGGCGGACGGGUGAGUAAUGUAUGGGGAUCUGCCUGGUGGCGGGGGAUAACUACUGGAAACGGUAGCUAAUACCGCAUACCAUCAGAUGGACCCAUAUGGGAUUAGCUUGUAGGUAGGGUAACGGCUCACCUAGGCGACGAUCCCUAGCUGGUCUGAGAGGAUGAUCAGCCACACUGGGACUGAGACACGGCCCAGACUCCUACGGGAGGCAGCAGUGGGGAAUAUUGUACAAUGGGCGCAAGCCUGAUGCAGCCAUGCCGCGUGUAUGAAGAAGGCCUUCGGGUUGUAAAGUACUUUUAGUCGGGAGGCGUUACCGGCAGAAGAAGCACCGGCUAACUACGUGCCAGCAGCCGCGGUAAUAC
rnacentral:rRNA from 1 species